rnacentral:rRNA from 1 species
UACGUAGGGGGCGAGCGUUGUCCGGAUUUAUUGGGCGUAAAGAGCGUGUAGGCGGUCAGGUAGGUCGGUUGUGAAAACUGGAGGCUCAACCUUCAGAGGUCGACCGAAACCCCCUGGCUAGAGUCCGGGAGAGGAGAGUGGAAUUCCUGGUGUAGCGGUGAAAUGCGCAGAUAUCAGGAAGAACACCCGUGGCGAAAGCGGCUCUCUGGAACGGUACUGACGCUGAGACGCGAAAGCGUGGGGAGCGAACAGG